UCAGCAUUCAUUGGCACCAGAGAUGAAAUUGGGACUCCUCUGUGCUACUGGAUGAAGAGU
ensembl:miRNA MIR7157 microRNA 7157